rnacentral:rRNA from 1 species
UACGUAGGGUGCAAGCGUUGUCCGGAAUUAUUGGGCGUAAAGAGCUCGUAGGCGGUUUGUCGCGUCUGCUGUGAAAACCCGAGGCUCAACCUCGGGCCUGCAGUGAGUACGGGCAGACUAGAGUGCGGUAGGGGAGAUUGGAAUUCCUGGUGUAGCGGUGGAAUGCGCAGAUAUCAGGAGGAACACCAAUGGCGAAGGCAGAUCUCUGGGCCGUAACUGACGCUGAGGAGCGAAAGCAUGGGGAGCGAACAGG